rnacentral:lncRNA from 1 species
CUUAUAAAUGGACUUAGUUUUUCUUCCAGUUAACAUUACAUACAGUUUGCAGUUAAAGUUUAUAAAACAUUUAUUAGAUUCAUAAACUAUCCUGGAUUUUUUUACCAAACUUGGAAGCUUCUUUCAAUCAAAAGACAGUAUCGAGAGGGAAAUUUUUAUUGAUGUUUUUCCUCAUUUUUGUUGAGUCUGCGAUUAACAGCAAAAGUAGGCGAGACACUGGGUUCCGUGGAACCCUUACGAAUUUUUGUG